UACGUAGGGUGCGAGCGUUGUCCGGAAUUAUUGGGCGUAAAGAGCUCGUAGGCGGCUUGUCACGUCGGUUGUGAAAGCCCGGGGCUUAACCCCGGGUCUGCAGUCGAUACGGGCAGGCUAGAGUUCGGUAGGGGAGAUCGGAAUUCCUGGUGUAGCGGUGAAAUGCGCAGAUAUCAGGAGGAACACCGGUGGCGAAGGCGGAUCUCUGGGCAGAUACUGACGCUGAGGAGCGAAAGCGUGGGGAGCGAACAGG
rnacentral:rRNA from 1 species